rnacentral:rRNA from 1 species
GAUGAACGCUGGCGGCGUGCCUAAUACAUGCAAGUCGAGCGAACGGACGAGAAGCUUGCUUCUCUGAUGUUAGCGGCGGACGGGUGAGUAACACGUGGAUAACCUACCUAUAAGACUGGGAUAACUUCGGGAAACCGGAGCUAAUACCGGAUAAUAUUUUGAACCGCAUGGUUCAAAAGUGAAAAACGGUCUUGCUGUCACUUAUAGAUGGAUCCGCGCUGCAUUAGCUAGUUGGUAAGGUAACGGCUUACCAAGGCAACGAUGCAUAGCCGACCUGAGAGGGUGAUCGGCCACACUGGAACUGAGACACGGUCCAGACUCCUACGGGAGGCAGCAGUAGGGAAUCUUCCGCAAUGGGCGAAAGCCUGACGGAGCAACGCCGCGUGAGUGAUGAAGGUCUUCGGAUCGUAAAACUCUGUUAUUAGGGAAGAACAUGUGUGUAAGUAACUGUGCACAUCUUGACGGUACCUAAUCAGAAAGCCACGGCUAACUACGUG